rnacentral:lncRNA from 10 species
UAAAGAAGGAAGAGGUUUUUAUUUGGCCGGUAGCAUUGGCAGACUCAUGUCUUAAGAGCCAAGCUCCCCCAAAAAGAAAUUCCUAGCCCUUUUAAGGGCUUACAACUCUAAGGGGUCCACGUGAAAGGGUCAUGAUAGAUCAAGUAAGCAUGAGGAAUGUGACUGGAGGCUACAUAUAUCAGCUAACAGAACAAAAAGUUUUACAGUGCUUUCUCAUACAAUGUCUGGAAUUUACAGAUAGUACCAGUAGUUUUUAUCGGUAAUAAGAAAAAGGAUGGCUUAAUAGUGCCAAUAACACAACUGUCUGCCCAUUCAUUAGGUAACUGAAUGUAGGCUCUCUGCCCACAUAUCCAGUAUAGUCCAGCGAGAGCCAUCCAGUCCUGAUGAGAUCCUGGACAAGCCCCCAUUAUAUCAGGAGCUGGAUCAGUGGGCACCAACUCUCAGGCUUCCCAAGGCCAUCGGUCUCUGAUAGUGGUUCCCCCGCAUAUAUAACAAGAAGUAACAUUAAGGGAAUGAGCUACAUUUUCUGCUAAUUGGAGAAACAAAUUUUUUAUCUUUUUCAGAAGUUCUGGUGGGUUACAGUGACUGGCAGCACAGGAGGGGUUGGCUUCCCCUUUCUGAAGAUGAACCAAGUCCUUUUUGUUCUUUUUCCAAGUAGCCUAAAUAACACAUGGCCAAAAGGCACAAUUUUCACAAACCCCUGACUCAUGACAAACAUAUUUAUUUUCUACUCUGUAGCUCCUUUCCCAGUUAAGAGAACCACAUCCUGUUCCUAGCUUGUUACUAUUAAUGGCUGCACAAGCGUCAAAUCUUAAAGUUACUUGUUUGGGGAUUCCUUUUUCUUCUGUUCUAGUUAUUAUUUCACUUGUAUCACCUAGGAAAAGGCCAGUUCUUAAUCUUAUUUCAAAACUGGUGGUUGUAGGGGGCUCAGAUGGGUUAUAACACACAUCAGGUCAGUCAUUUCCUGGGCUACAUACCUUGUACUGAGUGGCAUUAUACAAACAAGUCUCUUUUAACGUUCCCAUACAUUGAUAAUAACUAUAGAACAGAAAGAUUGUUUUCAUUUGCUGUCCUACCUCACUGACCUGAUGAAUACACUGGGAAUAGUCCCCAGUUUGAGUAAGAACAGUUGAAGCCCUUACUGUAAGUCCAAAAUUUAAGAAAAAUGAAGCCCACAAUGAGCUUCCUCAUGCUUCGGCUGUGCGUGGACCAGUCAGCUUCUGGGUGUGACUGGAGCAGGGCUUGUCAUCUUCUUCAGGGUCACUCUGCAGGGGUUGUCCAGACUUGGUCUUGCCUCCCAGGAUUCAGGCGCUGCAGGUUUUACACGGUUGUGAUGGAUCCAGGCUAGGAUUCUCUCUACGUUCACAGCAGUGGGAGUGAUCAGGACGACAGUCUGGGGUCCUUUCCACCAUGGGCACAAAGAGGCUACGUUCCAGUCCUUGAUCCACACUCGAACACCUGGGGAGAAAAGGUGAACUGGGGAGAAUAAGCUAACAGGGUCUCUCAUUUACCCAGGCUGAGAUUGUUUGUGUAAUUUUUCCUAAAGCCUGUAGCUGUCGCUGUAACUCAAUUUCACCUAACUCUCAGGAAGUGCCUGGAAGUCCCUGCAAUAUGGGAAGGGUCCCAUGAUAUAAUAUUUCCUAAGGGGAAUAUCCUGUUCUUUUAGAAGGGGUACAUCUAAUUUUAAAUAAUACUAUAGAGAGCAUGUAUCCAUUUUAAUCCUGUUUCCUGACAUACUUUCCCUAAACUAUUUUUGAUAGUCUGAUUCAUCUGCUCUGCCUUUCUGGAACUCUGAGGCCGGUAGGCGGCAUGCAGUUUCCAAAUGAUCCCCAAUACCUUUGCUAUCUUCUGUACCAAGUCAGCCACAAACGUUAGCCCAUUAUCUGAGCUGAUCCGUAAGGGCAGUCCAAAUCUAGGAAUAAGAUCUCGAAGAAGCACACAGGUUACUUCACGAGCUUUCUCAGUUAGUGUUGGAUAAGCCUCCACCCACCCACAGUAGGUACACAAAAGAACUAGUAAAUACUUGUUACCUCCACACUUUGGCAUCUCUGUGAAGUCCACCUGGAGAUCUUCAAAGGAGGCUGCUCUAUAAGCUUGUAUGCCGGGGGGGAACAGCUAGACCUUGCCUCACAUUAUGCUGUCGGCAGGUAACACAC